GGCCCGGUAGCUCAGUUGGUAGAGCAGAGGAUUGAAAAUCCUUGUGUCGGUGGUUCGAUUCCGCCCCAGGCCACCA
rnacentral:tRNA from 5 species